rnacentral:lncRNA from 1 species
GCUCUCUCUUUAUACUGCCUUUACUUUCAUCUCCAUAAUUCACAUAACAGUUGGAGAGUCUCUGUGCUGCAGCUGAUUUAACCUCUUAGAGGCAUUUUGUUUCUCACUGAUGUAUUUAGUUCAAGAUUGUGGCCCACAUCAGAAAUACAGAUCGAAUGCUAUCAUUAAAGAUGAAAAUCAAGUUCAAUGCAAACUGUUUAAGACAAAAAGUGGUCUUCGUGUAUGUCAGAAGUCAAGUAUGAUAUCCAAGCAUUCUUGCUCUCGCAUUAGAAUUUCUCAGCAAACAGCAGAAUUUGAAUCAUAUAUCCAAAGUUGUCA